UUCAGAAGUGUGCUCUUGAGAUCCUCCUGUUCUCUUUCCUUUUUUCGUUUAUUUAGCCCUUCUCGGACCUUGGCCAUAGAAUCUCUUACUAUUCCUGUGUGGUCAGCAUAGAAACAACACUCUUC